UACGGGGGGAGCAAGCGUUGUUCGGAUUUACUGGGCGUAAAGGGCGCGUAGGCGGCCACCGCAAGUCGAUUGUGAAAUCUCCGGGCUUAACCCGGAAAGGUCAACUGAUACUGUGCGACUAGAGUGCGGAAGGGGCAACUGGAAUUCUUGGUGUAGCGGUGAAAUGCGUAGAUAUCAAGAGGAACACCUGCGGCGAAGGCGGGUUGCUGGGCCGACACUGACGCUGAGGCGCGAAAGCCAGGGGAGCGAACGGG
rnacentral:rRNA from 1 species